GAGGAAAGUCCGGGCUUCACAGGGCAGGAUGCCGGAUAACGUCCGGCGGAGGCGACUCCAGGGAAAGUGCAACAGAAAUAUACCGCCGGAUUCAUUUCCGGUAAGGGUGGAAAGGCAGUGCAAGAGACUGCCGCCGGCCUGGCAACAGACCGGGUCCAUGUAAACCCCAUCCGAAGCAAGACCGAGUUCAGUGCGCAUAAGGCGGCCCGUCUGCGCCAAGGUAGGUCGCUCGAGCCUUCCGGCAACGGAAGGCCUAGACAGAUGAUCAUUCACGACAUAACCCGGCUUAUCGUCCCGCUCAC
rnacentral:RNase_P_RNA from 1 species